CUUAGAACCGGUUCAUUCAUCUCUCUUUCCAUGCAGGACAUGGAAAAGGGAGAUCCCUGCAGCUUCAGGCCCCCGCAUUCUGGUGCCCAACGUGGGGCUGUGGGCCGAAAGAGGCAACAAGAGUAAGCAAGGAAGGACUGAGAGUUGCCCUUUGACAGCAAAGCAGAAGGAGAA